rnacentral:rRNA from 1 species
UGGGGAAUAUUGCACAAUGGAGGGAACUCUGAUGCAGCGACGCCGCGUGAACGAAGAAGGCUUUCGAGUCGUAAAGUUCUUCUAUAUGGGAAGAUAAUGACGGUACCAUAAGAAAAAGCCCCGGCUAACUACGUGCCAGCAGCCGCGGUAAUACGUAGGGGGCUAGCGUUGUCCGGAAUCACUGGGCGUAAAUGGUUCGCAGGCGGAAAUGCAAGUCAGGUGUAAAAGGCAGUAGCUUAACUACUGUAAGCAUUUGAAACUGCAUAUCUUGAGAAGAGUAGAGGUAAGUGGAAUUUUUCGUGUAGCGGUGAAAUGCGUAGAUAUUAAAAAGAAUACCGGUGGCGAAUGCGACUUACUGGGCUCAUUCUGACACUGAGUAACGAAAGCGUGGGUAGCAAACAGG